UGGGGUGGUGGUGCUGGGAUGGGGUGGCUCCCAGAGUUGCUCCAUCCCACGGGACCGCCCGGAGCACCCCACCCGCGAAGAACGGGGAAGUGUUUCGGCACAGGCUCCAUCUCGUGCUGGCCAAGGUCACCCUUGGGAGCACAGCUCCCUCCACGCCUCCGGGCUGCACCGGUUUGCACCAGAAAAGUCCCAGGCCAGGAAGGGUCGGGACGGCUUGAGGGGGCGGGCUGCUCCUGUGUGAAGCUGGUCAAAGCCUGCAUCCAAAACCAAAGAAACCAGCCAGCCUGCAUGGAGCCGGGCGUCCAGCCGCGGCUGGAGUGGGCGAGACCAAGAUGGUUUGAAAGGUGCCCAAAGCUGCCUGACCCUGGGAGCCGUGGAAGGUCAUCGGGCAGUGGAGCGGCCUGACGGGUCUGUAUUCUAGAAGGGUUCGGCUGAUCCCAAGGUGAGAGCGCAUGAGCAGUAGGAUCUGACGUGGGAGGCCCGCCCCGAGUCGGUGGUUCUCAGCCUCCAGUGCCCCAGAGUCCCUUGGUGGCGAGGCGAGGCUGGACGGCUGGGCUCGGGCCCGGGACUGCGUUUCUGCUGGGCUGGGGGUGCUGAUGCUGCCGGCCCGGGGACGCACGCUCGGACCCACGUGCGGAGCUGGGACCCAAGACAGAAAAGCAAGCUCCGGGACUGUGGGGUCUCAAAAGGGGCACAGGAGCCCCGCCUUCCAGCCCAGACUCAGCUCUCGACCUCAGGCUGCCCGUCUAUGUGAGCGGAGCCAUUGCCCUGGGCAUCUCUGCUCUGACGGCCCACGAGGCUUCCAGCCCAGCCACGCGUGGAGAGCUGUCAACAGCCCGGGACACUCAGAGAGGAAGAAAAGGAGCUCUUCUGUCCUCAGGAGGGGACGUCUCCCGGGGUCGCAGGGGGGACCUGAAGCCUCGAUGCCCCCCUGCUUGCUUCUGGAGGAGCCAACCGCAACUGUCAGGCCUCUCCACCGACCUGCGCCACGGCUCUGUCUGGCAGACCGGGAGAGGGUGGCGUGUCAGAAAGGCUGGGAGUCCAUGAGGAUGAGGCCUCAGGAAGAAGCACAACCCAGGGCAGUCGGCUGGGGGCCCCGGUCCUUCACUUUGUUGCCUCUGCGUAGAUUGGAGCUCCGUGGCCUGAGGUCCAAGGCCCUCGACAGCCAAGCCCAAACUAACUGGUUAGCCCGCUCCGGUCAGAAGACACCCACCACUUUCACAGCCACUGAGGGAGUGAGGGCUUUGGAAACAGAGUGACUCAGAUCAAAUGCUGUGUGACCCUGAAGAAGAUCCUUAACCUCUCUGAGCCUCCUUCUCCUCAGUUGUACGGUGAAGGUAACUGAGCUUGCAUCCCGGAGCUGUUUUAAGGAGUGAGUAAGAGAAGGUAGAUAAUAGGAUGCCUCUUGCCAAACAGGAUUCAGGAAACAAUAGCAAUUGUCAGUAUGCCCAGAGCGCCGUGUGACCCCAUCCUGGUCAUUAAAUGCCGUCUCUAGACGCAUAACGCCCACAGUGAUUUCUCCAGCCCCGGGGUCCAGACUCAGCAGACGACAGCGCCUGCAACGCCUCCACCUGGGGGUCUGACAUGCAUCUCAAACCUGACCCGCCCCCUCCAGAGCCGUGGCUCCCUCGGAUGCAGCCCACCCCAAAGGACGGCCCCGCCGGCCUUCCCUUCUGCCCGAACGGCCCCCCGAGCCAGGGAUCCCAGCCCAGAAACCUCGAGCUCGUCCUUCGUUCUGCUCGUCCUCCUGACGCCUCAAGCCCAGCCCACCGGCAGCACCGAGAGCUCUGCUUCAGAGUGUUUCCAGGACCCGCCGCCCCCACGGCCACUGCCAGAGCCGGCAGGGGACCUCCCGCCAUGGUGGGCACCUGCUAUAAUCUGCGCCACUCAACACGUCGCCCCAGGGCCACACGUGGCUGCUGCACACCUGAAGUGUGGCCGCUGUAUGAGGAAGCAACAAUGCUUCGACGUUCCUCGUGGAACUUUCCUUUCCGUCCGCACGUGGGCUGUGGCCCGCCGUGGACCCCCGCGUCCGGCCCCGGCCUGGUGGGCAGCUGCUGCGGCCGUUUCAUCGUCUGAACGAAUGGGAACUCUUCCAGCCAGCAGGGGUAGGCAGAUAAGGGGAGUCUGACACGCCCAGGUGCUCACAUCUCCCCCGAGAGAAGAGACCAUUUCCAGACCUGGGCUUUUGCGCCCGGACAGAACAGGAGCCCAAGGCCACGGUCAAGGGGCCGGAGCGCUGGACAGCAGCCGAGAGCUGGAAUCCUGGCUCUGCUCUGCACACCCAGCUGGUCCCUUGGGGUGACCCUCUACCCUCUCUGAGGCCCUGUCGUCCCCCUAAAUGAUGCCGCUCAUCCCCCCCGCCCCAGCUGCGCUUCACUGUGAGGCUCGUCACUAAAGUCCCCAGAUCCUCACGAAAGGGACAUCGGCCCCCUCCCCUGCCAAGCGGUGGUCAGGGCAGCCGUGGGCGGCCAGGGCCUGUCGGUGUCGUCCCGUCUCCGUCCCCAGUACCUCGCAGUGCUGCACACGUCGUACGAGCUCCAUCACUGUCUGCGGGGUGAAUGAAUGAGUGACUGCUGUUCCCCUGCACACCGUGGGUUUCUCAGGGACUCGGGGGGAGGGGAGAGGCGCAGAUGGCCGGGGGGACCAGGAUGGGGAAGGGAAGAUGAGGCUGAGCAGGGGGCUGAGGCCACAGGCUCGCUUCUCUCUGUCGAUGUCAUCCUGGACCAAGCCCGGGGGGCCGCGUUAUCACAAAUUACAUCUCCCUGGGCUGGCAUUAUCGUCUGAUUUCGAGCAAAUUACAGAAUUAAGGGGCGGGGGUGGCUGUGUCUGUUCUAUAUUUGGCACUAGCUUAUCAGCAGAGCUGCGAGAGCCUUCUGGAUUGUGCUCAAAAACCUGAUGAAGGUCGUUGGGCCAGAAUGUCACAUGCUCCCCGGACGGCCAAGGGUCUCCCAGGCGGGAGGCAGAGGCCGAGGGAGGGUCAGCCUGAGAUGCUUGCACUCCUGGCCCCCAGUUCAUGUCAACCCAGAUAACGCAGCCACGGCUGGGGUGGGGGGUGGCAACUGGCAGAUGCUGUGCCGCCAGAAGGUGUUGCUGGCACCUCCGAUGGGGACCAGAUUACGCCCAGCAUCCAGGGAGAUUGGGAAACGUGCCUGAGAGGAACCAAGGAGGUGCGAGGGAGUGCGUCUUAUCGGAGGGGGAGGGAAGGGUGGGGUGCGGAGAAAGCUGGGGAGGGGGCCGGCAGUGUGAACUAGAGGGGGCUUCUCUCUGCAGCCUUGGCUCUUGCUGCCUGGAGAGGACAUCUGGUGUUUCCGCCUGCUUAACAUUCAUUUCCCUCCUUCUGGAAACAUCACCCUGGUUUUCCUUUGAGGAAUUGCCCAGCCUCCACUCUCAGCCCAUGUCAUCCAGGCAGGGCUGUCACCUCCUGACCCUUGAGAUCCAGGGGUGAGCCCCGGCCCCAGCUCAGACAAUAGCCCUGAGCAUGGCAUGGUUCAAGGUGGCUUGACGUGGAAGCUGGGUCAGUCAGGGUCAGCUCAGGGACUUUGGUAGGAAUCACUAAGAACAAUCUGUUCUUUCCUAAUUAGGGUUGAAACAGCAGGGAGGGAAGCCCUGAGGCAUUCAGUUAUCUCAGAACGAAGCCAGUGUGAGGAGAGCAGAACUAGGAAAUGGAACAGGAAAGACUGAACCCUGGAUCCAGCUGCACCUGAAGCUCAUCUCCUGCACUCUUCUGAUAACAUAAGCAAAAAAAAAUCCCUUUGAGCUGUUUCUGUAAUCUGCCACCCAAAGAACUGAAUAAUUAUCUUCAGUCCUACACUCCAGCCCCACCAGCCUGGUUGCAAGUUCUCAGAACAGAUCAGACAGCCCCCACUUCCAGAUUGUUCCUCAAGCCAUAACCUCUGCCAGGAAUGCCAUCCCCACCUCAUGCCUCCUGUUGAAACCCUUCUCUACCCUCCAUUCAAAUGACAUCUACUUCAAGGAGCAUCCUCAUGUGAUAGUCACAUCACUUCCUCAUCACUCCCACACAGACUGAGCCGACUUUGCUUAUGGGCCCAGGUGGUGGUGCUGGGUCAGCACCCUUUUUGUGUGCAUUUGACCCUCUGGGCUGAGCCCAGCACCGUGCUGGGAGCAGGGUCUCAUUUCCCCUUGAGGUGGUAUCUUUGUUGUCUCCAUGCCACAGGGCAGCCUUGACUCAGAGAGGCUGAGAGCCGGGCUCCGGGUCCGAGGGGGGGUGGUCAGGCCCCAGAGCACCAGCCCUGGCCCGCUGUGCUGUGCUGGCCCCUGACUUGUUCACCUAUGGGGGUCUUUGUCCCCCUCUUACUGCGGGGGCCAGUGGGGACGAUGUCAGGGUACAGGAUGAAAGCUCCAGGGUCACUCUGCCUGGGUUCAGAUUCCGGCUGCACUCCCCAGCAGCUGUGUGACCUCAGGCAAGAACUCCUCUGGGGUCCACCUGUCUGUUUUUGUAUUAUUGUGGUAAAACACCCCUCUCACGAAAUGCACCAUCUUGACCAUUUGUAAGUGUCCAGUUCAGCGGCACUAAGUACACUGACAAUGUCGUGCGGCGGUCAUACCAUCCUUCCUCAGAACGCUUUCCUCUUACAAAGUUUACACUCAGUCCCCUUUAAACAAGACCCCCACCACCUCCUCCCCCAGCCCCCGGCCACCACCGUUCCACUCUCUGUCUCCGUGAGUUUAACUCCUCGAGAGGCUUCAUGUGAGUGGCAUCGUGCAAAGUUCGUCCUUUUGUGACUGGCUUAUUUCACUGCAUAUGGGGUCCUCAGAGUUCAUGCAUGUUGUGGCAGGUGUCAGAAUGUCCUUCCUUUUCCAGGCUGAAUAAUAUUCCACGGUCUGUACCCUACCUCAUCUUUCAACCGAGGCGAGAAUCUACCUCCACAGUAGGUAUCAGCCGUUGGUACAGGCCUCACGGCCAGCCCCGGGCCUCUGUAGUGGGGUGGGCAGGGACGAGGAGGCGGGCACCCUCUGCUGACCAUGCAGGUCCAUGCUGAAGCUCGCCGUCUCCACCCUCUGCCCUCUCGAGUGAUUGCCCACCUGGGAGAAAAAGAGAGGGAAGCGUUGGCAAUGUGUCCCCAAAUUCUCCGCCCGCCGUGAGAGAUGGGGGGCCCUGCAGUGAGAGAGCCUUCUCGACUCCAGCUCUCUCCUGUCUGGGGAGCACCCACUCUGAGCCAGGAGCUGUGCUGCGAGCCAUCACCCCCGCUCGCCAGCUCUCAUCCCAGCUGCCAAGCGAGUGCCAAUCAGUGGGAUGGCAGAGCACGCAAGCGGGAGAGAAAAGUGCCAACCUGAAAGCCCUUGGCUGAGCCCCCAGGGAAAAGGGGAUGCUGCAACUCGCCCCAGGGAUCCGCGAGGUGUCAGCGCUGUGGAGAAGGGAAAUGAAAUGCUCGGUGCCCGUUCAGGGGAGCUGCCGUGAAACCCCAGGAGGAGGGAACGCCGCCAACGGUGCUUCGGGCCCCAGCACGGCGUCACAGAGCGCUGCUUCUGGACGGCGCUGCCCCUCUGGGUUCUGAACCCCCCUGGGCAGCUGUGUGGGCUGAGCCAGGCCCAGGGCUGGGCACCCUGGAGGGGUGAGGAAGGAGAAGAGAGAGGGAGGUACCCUACACACCACCCUGAGCCUGUUGGCUGUGCUUGGGUUUACCAGGUGCCGCACGCUGGAUUCCCAUGAGAUUCUGCAGCCCGAGGACCUUCCAGAACAUUCUUUUCCUCCUUCAAAACUUCUGAGAUUAGAAUCUAAGUGAUUGCUGCCCAAACCCAGUUAGGAGGUGGGGCCGGUGAGGGACCGGCAGAUUCGGGGAGCUAUCGGGGUGAGAGGACGUCCCAGUGCUGCUUAAACGAGGACAAUGAUGGGGCUGGGGAGCUCCUGUCAAAAUGGCCCCCACGUAAAGGAACACGUCACCUACUGCCCUGGAAGAUGGGACUAUUGUCCCAGCUCUCGCUCCCUCCAGGUCCUGGAAUUCUACCUCCGCACCCUGGCCGUGUGACUGGGCCGUACCCUGCCCCACCCAGCUUGGGCCUGGCCUGCGACUCUCUUGGGGCAGCAGGAUGUGAGUGACGUGACGCGAGGUUUUAAAUGUGCUUGCGUCAUCCGGCUUAGUCCCCUGCGCUUCUGCCAUCAGCCAUGAGGAGACCCGCCCCAAGCAGCUACCAGUCCAAGGAGAGGGAGGAAGCCCUUGGAUCCCACCCGAACCCAACCCCCAGCCCGGGGCCACGGCUGAUCCAACCCAGCAGACGCAGAAGUGAGAAAGAUACACAUGAAUUCCUGCAGCCCACUGACUGCUGCUGCCUGGUCCUUGGCGUUUUGGCAGCGUCGCUGACUGCCACCCCACACGCGCAUAGACGUACCCAAACAGCGCACACGCAGGCUCAUCCACGUACACCCAUGUGUGUGUGCACAGGUCACAGACACAGCCGCCCCCACUUUCUGCGGUUUCGCUUUCCAUGGUUUCAGUUACCUGUGGUCAACCAUGGUCCAAAAACAUUACAUGGAAAAUUCUAGAAAUAAACAAGUCAAAGUUUUAAAUUGCAUGUCGUCUGAGUAGCAUGAUGAAAUCUCUCCUUCUCACUCCGUCCUGCCUGGGUCCUGAGUCGUCCCUUUGUCCCGCGGAUCCACACUGUGUACACCACCCGCCCUUUAGUCCCUUAGUUAUCAUCUCAGUUAUCAUC
rnacentral:lncRNA from 1 species